GGCGGCGGGCGGGUGCGGCCUUCGGCGGCGGAGGGCGCCAUGGUGGGUGGCGAGGCGGCCGCCGCGGUGGAGGAGCUAGUUUCGGGGGUGCGGCAGGCGGCCGACUUCGCGGAGCAGUUCCGCUCCUACUCGGAGAGCGAGAAGCAAUGGAAGGCUCGCAUGGAAUUCAUUCUGCGCCACUUGCCCGACUACCGCGACCCGCCCGAUGGCGGUGGCCGCCUGGACCAGCUGCUGUCCCUCUCCAUGGUGUGGGCCAACCACCUCUUCCUGGGUUGCAGUUACAACAAAGACCUUUUAGACAAAGUGAUGGAAAUGGCUGAUGGGAUUGAAGUGGAAGACCUGCCACAGUUUACUACCAGGAGUGAAUUAAUGAAAAAGUGUCAGCCUCCAGAGAAGAGUCCUCAGGCACAAACCUGGUAUCCCUGAAAGCAGCUCUGCCAUCAGACUAGUCACACUCACCUAGCUACCUGGAAGAAGCCUGCGGGGAGCCUCUACUUCUAGAGCACUUGCGGAUUGUGUGUGUUCCGGCUUCCUUUCAAUAAAACCAUCAAAGCUGAGGCAGAAGAUUCAUCACAUUUUCCAGCAUCAGCUACAGGCUUAGGAAGGAGGCUGGGAUGAAUGUGACAUGGACCACAGCAGCUCUCUUAAGAUUCCUGGUAUUUCCAACAUGUAGGAAAGAGGCAGUUGGAAUGACAAUCUUGUCUAGUUUGGAGUUUUAAAAGGUCUCAUUCUUCCAGUAGCUAUCAUUGUAAAAGUGUGCAUGGAUAUUUAUGUAUUUAUAAAUCAUGCCCUCUUUUUUUUAUUUUCACUUUUUGAAUGUCAAACUUUUUGUUAAAAAUGCCUAUUUUUUUUUUUUAUGUUGUUGUAAUAAUUGCCGGUAGUGAAUUUUACAAUUUGGAUUUUUCAAUAAUGUAUUUUCAAGUCUGA